GGGCAUGUGGCUCAGUGGUACAGUGCUUAUAUGGCAUGCAUGAAGCCCUGGGUUCAAUCCCCAGCACCACCA
rnacentral:tRNA from 1 species